rnacentral:rRNA from 1 species
AGCUCCAACAGCGUAUAUUAAAGUUGUUGCGGUUAAAAAGCUCGUAGUUGGAUCUCGGCAAGCAGGGGCCGGUUCGCUCCAUAGCGUUACUGGCCCAUUUGCUUGUGUGAUUGGCGGAGGUUUCGGGGUGCUCUUUACUGAGUGUCCCGGGGCGCCGUCAGGUUUACUUUGAAAAAAUUAGAGUGCUCAAAGCAAGCUUUUCACGCUUGAAUAUUCGUGCAUGGAAUAAUAGAAUAGGAACUCGUUUCUAUUUUGUUGGUUUUCGGAAAUCGAGUUAAUGAUUAAUAGGGACAAUUGGGGGCAUUAGUAUUCAGGCGACAGAGGUGAAAUUCUUGGACCGUCUGAAGACUAACUACUGCGAAAGCAUUUGCCAAGAGUGUUUUCAUUAAUCAAGAACGAA